rnacentral:rRNA from 1 species
AUUGAACGCUGGCGGCAUGCCUAACACAUGCAAGUCGAACGGCAGCGCGGGUAGCUUGCUACCUGGCGGCGAGUGGCGGACGGGUGAGUAAUAUGUAGGAAUCUACCUAGAGGAGCGGGAUAACUUGGGGAAACUCAAGCUAAUACCACAUAAUCCCCACGGGGGCAAGCAGGGGACAUUCGGGCCUUGCCCCUUAUGAUGGGCCUACAUCGGAUUAGCUUGUUGGUGUGGUAAAGGCCUACCAAGGCGACGAUCCGUAGCUGGUCUGAUAGGAUGAUCAGCCACACUGGAACUGAGACACGGUCCAGACUCCUACGGGAGGCAGCAGUGGGGAAUAUUGGACAAUGGGGGGAACCCUGAUCCAGCAAUGCCGCGUGUGUGAAGAAGGCCUUAGGGUUGUAAAGCACUUUCAGUGGAGAGGAAGUUGCGUGUGCUAAUAUCAUACGUAAUUGACGUUACCCACAGAAGAAGCACCGGCUAACUCUGUGCCAGCAGCCGCCGUAA